rnacentral:rRNA from 1 species
AGAGUUUGAUCAUGGCUCAGAGCGAACGCUGGCGGCAGGCUUAACACAUGCAAGUCGAACGGGCGUAGCAAUACGUCAGUGGCAGACGGGUGAGUAACACGUGGGAACGUACCCUUCGGUUCGGAACAACCCAGGGAAACUUGGGCUAAUACCGGAUACGUCCGCAAGGAGAAAGAUUUAUCGCCGAAGGAUCGGCCCGCGUCUGAUUAGCUUGUUGGUGAGGUAACGGCUCACCAAGGCGACGAUCAGUAGCUGGUCUGAGAGGAUGAUCAGCCACACUGGGACUGAGACACGGCCCAGACUCCUACGGGAGGCAGCAGUGGGGAAUAUUGGACAAUGGGCGCAAGCCUGAUCCAGCCAUGCCGCGUGAGUGAUGAAGGCCUUAGGGUUGUAAAGCUCUUUCGGCGGGGAAGAUAAUGACGGUACCCGCAGAAGAAGCCCCGGCUAACUUCGUGCCAGCAGCCGCGGUAAUACGAAGGGGGUUAGCGUUGCUCGGAAUCACUGGGCGUAAAGCGCACGUAGGCGGAUUGUUAAGUCAGGGGUGAAAUCCCAGGGCUCAACCCUGGAACUGCCUUCGAUACUGGCAAUCUUGAGUCCGGGAGAGGUGAGUGGAACUGCGAGUGUAGAGGUGAAAUUCGUAGAUAUUCGCAAGAACACCAGUGGCGAAGGCGGCUCACUGGCCCGGUACUGACGCUGAGAUACGAAAGCGUGGGGAGCAAACAGGAUUAGAUACCCUAGUAGUCC